CCAACCAACCAACCAACCAACCAACCAAAACCAACAAACUACCCACUAACUAGCUAACUCAAACCUUGGGCUAAGCUCUUUUAUAAACAGUUUGCUGAGAUGAUGCCUCCGCUGGGGAAAUGGAAGUUGGCAAGUGGACAGCAUCCCAUCUGAUGAUUGGUGGAGGACUGAGUCAAAUACAGAGGCAAGAGAUGGGUGACGGACUGGCUUAGAGAAAUCGUGAGGGCAUGAGAGGAAGGCCCCUUUCACUCGGAUCAAUCUUCCACCUGUAGGGCCUGUUGGACCAGCUGUGGGGAAAUAUUGCUGCAGCAAGGAGGCGGCGACACCUUGGGCAAUGGCUGUACUUCAGAAAAGUCAAAUCGAAUGCCAGAGAUGAGAGCUAGAAGGCGAACAUCAACCUUGCUAGUUGCUAU